UACGUAGGGUGCGAGCGUUGUCCGGAAUCACUGGGCGUAAAGCGCGUGUAGGCGGAUGGGCAAGUCUGCUGUGAAAGCGCCUGGCUUAACCGGGCGAGGUCGGUGGAAACUGCCAAUCUGGAGGACGGUAGAGGUGGGUGGAAUUCCCGGUGUAGUGGUGAAAUGCGUAGAGAUCGGGAGGAACACCUGUGGCGAAGGCGGCCCACUGGGCCGGACCUGACGCUGAGACGCGAAGGCGUGGGGAGCGAACGGG
rnacentral:rRNA from 1 species